AGCAGCCGCGGUAAUUCCAGCUCCAAUAGCGUAUAUUAAAGUUGCUGCAGUUAAAAAGCACGUAGUUGAAUUUCGGGACCAUCAUGUCGGUCGUGCCUCGGUACGUACUGGCAUUGUUGGUUUCUUCCUUCUGACGAACCAUGAUGUCAUUUAUUUGGUGUCGUGGGAAAUCAGGACUGUUACUUUGAAAAAAUUAGAGUGUUUAAAGCAGGCUCACGCUUGAAUACAUUAGCAUGGAAUAAUGAAAUAGGAUGUUUGAUUCUAUUUUGUUGGUUUUUAGGAUCGACGUAAUGAUUAAUAGGGAUAGUUGGGGGCAUUAGUAUUCAAUUGUCAGAGGUGAAAUUCUUGGAUUUAUUGAAGACUAACUACUGCAAAAGCAUUUGCCAAGGAUGUUUUCAUUAAUCAAGAACGAAAGUUAGGGAUCGAAGACGAUCAGAUACCGUCGUAGUCUUAACCAUAAACUAUGCCGACUAGGAAUCAGAUGAUGUUAAUUUUUUAAUGACUCAUUCGGCGCCUUACG
rnacentral:rRNA from 1 species